UUCGGAUAUAACCAAAGUUGUGCAAAGUCCUUUGAUUAGACCAGGUUAGGCACAAAGGUCAGUCUUAAAACGCGUGAUCACUCACGUGCAAAGCACUCGGUAAAUAACAAUGAACCACUGUCAAACACUUCUUCCCAUGCAUGCGGGAAAAUAGACCAAUCAGGUCCUACUGUUUUGUUUGCUUAUGCUUCCUGCCUGGGCUACAGGCUUCAUUGUGUCGCCGGUGAGCCAAAGUGAAGGACACUUCACAGCGAAAAAAUUGCUUAAAUUCCACCCACCCCACCCGUCAAUGAUGUUGCACCACUUUAUCAUAGCUUAGUAAAAAAACAAACAAAAAAACAAACAAACUGUAUUAUAGCCUGUUGUUAUAUUGCAUGGGUCAUUAUCAAGACAGACUAGCAUGGACUGCAAUGCUCGCAGCGUUUACUGAACAGUAGAAUAGUUACUACUUGUAAA